rnacentral:rRNA from 1 species
GUGCCAGCAGCCGCGGUAAUACGAAGGGGGCUAGCGUUGCUCGGAAUUACUGGGCGUAAAGGGAGCGUAGGCGGACAGUUUAGUCAGAGGUGAAAGCCCAGGGCUCAACCCUGGAAUUGCCUUUGAUACUGAUUGUCUUGAGUAUGGGAGAGGUGAGUGGAACUCCGAGUGUAGAGGUGAAAUUCGUAGAUAUUCGGAAGAACACCAGUGGCGAAGGCGACUCACUGGCCCAUUACUGACGCUGAGGCUCGAAAGCGUGGGGAGCAAACAGGAUUAGAAACCCCAGUAGUCC